rnacentral:sRNA from 1 species
AACAAGCAGAAGCACCCGCUUCUCACCUGAUUGACACAUUCUUGUAGUUGGCAGGUUAAACGUACAUUUCUUAUUUUUUUAUGCAGAUGUUCGCAGUGUGGGUGUUGUUAUGCCCACACUUUUUGUUU